rnacentral:rRNA from 1 species
GACAGAGGUCCCGAGCGUUAGGCGGAAUCACUGGGCUUAAAGCGUGUGUAGGCGGCGGCCUAAGUACCUUGUGAAAUCCCACGGCUCACCCGUGGAACUGCUCGGUAUACUGGGUCGCUUGAGCCACUUAGGGGCUACCGGAACAAAUGGUGGAGCGGUGAAAUGCGUAGAUAUCAGUUGGAACGCCAAUGGUGAAAACAGGUAGCUGGGAGUGUGCUGACGCUGAGACACGAAAGCCAGGGGAGCAAACGGG